GACGAACGCUGGCGGCGUGCUUAACACAUGCCAGUCGAACGGAAAGGCCCUGCUUUUGUGGGGUGCUCGAGUGGCGAACGGGUGAGUAACACGUGAGUAACCUGCCCUUGACUUUGGGAUAACUUCAGGAAACUGGGGCUAAUACCGGAUAGGAGCUCCUGCUGCAUGGUGGGGGUUGGAACGUUUCGGCGGUUGGGGAUGGACUCGCGGCUUAUCAGCUGGUUGGUGGGGUAGUGGCUUACCAAGGCAUUGGCGGGUAGCCGGCCUGAGAGGUUGACCGGCCACAAGGCGACUGAGAGACGGCGCAGACUGCUACGGGAGGCAGCAGGGGGGAGUAUUGCACAGUGGGCGGACGCCUGAUGCAGAAACCCCGCGUGCGGGAUGACGGCCUUCGGGUUGUAAACCGCUUUCGCUUGUGACGAAGCGUGAGUGACGGUAAUGGGUAAAGAAGCACCGGCUAACUACGUG
rnacentral:rRNA from 1 species